rnacentral:rRNA from 1 species
UAAUACAGAGGGGGCAAGCGUUGUUCGGAAUUACUGGGCGUAAAGGGCGCGUAGGCGGCCUUCUAAGUCGAACGUGAAAUCCCCGGGCUCAACCCGGGAACUGCGUCCGAGACUGGAAGGCUCGAAUCCGGGAGAGGGAUGUGGAAUUCCAGGUGUAGCGGUGAAAUGCGUAGAUAUCU